GACGAACGCUGGCGGCGUGCCUAAUACAUGCAAGUAGAACGCACAGUUUAUACCGUAGCUUGCUACACCAUAGACUGUGAGUUGCGAACGGGUGAGUAACGCGUAGGUAACCUGCCUGGUAGCGGGGUAUAACUAUUGAAACGUUAGCUUAUACCGCUUAAUUUUAAUUAUUGCCUGAUAAUUUAUUUAAAGGAGCCAUUUCACCACUACCCGUAGUACCUGCGUUGUAUUAGCUAGUAGGUGAGGUUACGGCCCACCUAGGCGACGAUACAUAGCCGACCAGAGAGGGUGAUAGGCCGCACUGGGACUGAGACACGGCCCAGACUAGAACGGGAGGAAGCAGUAGGGAAUCUUCGGCAAUGGACGAAAGUAUGACCGAGAAACGCCGCGUGAGUGAAGAAGGUUUUAGGAUCGUAAAGAUCUGUUGUAAGAGAAGAACGGGUGUGAGAGUGGAAAGGUCAAAAUGUGACGGUAGCUGACCAGAAAGGGACGGAUAACUACGUG
rnacentral:rRNA from 1 species